rnacentral:rRNA from 1 species
UAUGUGAUCGUCUCUCGCAUAUCAAUAAGCGGAGGAAAAGAAACUAACAAGGAUUCCCCUAGUAACGGCGAGUGAAGCGGGAAGAGCUCAAAUUUGAAAUCUUAAAGGGUUUCCCUUUACGAAUUGUAGUUUAAAGAAGUGUUUUCUGUUGAGGUUUUGGUAAAAGUUCUUUGGAAUAGGACAUCAUAGAGGGUGAGAAUCCCGUAUUUGACCUUUACUUUCAACUUUGUGAUACACUUUCAAAGAGUCGGAUUGUUUGGGAAUGCAGUCCAAAAUGGGUGGUAAAUUUCAUCUAAAGCUAAAUAUUGGCGAGAGACCGAUAGCGAACAAGUACCGUGAGGGAAAGAUGAAAAGAACUUUGAAAAGAGAGUUAAACAGUACGUGAAAUUGUCAAAAGGGAAGCGUUUGACACCAGUGUUGUUUUUCUGAAAAUCAAUUAAAGAACUGUUUAUGCUAAGCUUGUUUAGACUUUAUCAGCUAUCUGUUUAGUUUUGAGCUUUUCUUUAAUGCACUUUUCAGUUAACAAGUCAACAUCAAUUUCUUUUGCUGUAAAAAAGCUUGAGGAAGGUGGCUUGAGAUUCGUCUUAAGUGUUUAUAGCCUCUUGCCUAUGCAGUCGGAGAGAUUGAGGUCUGCAGCGUAGAUCCUUCGGGGCUAAAUGCAUUUGUGCUAAGUUAUAGCAUUUUAUAGACAACUUGUUGACUAUGAUUUGUCUUGUAGCUUACUCGCUUAUGUUAUUUUACCUACGCUUAGGAUGUUGAGUAGCGACAUACGCAC